ACGUCAGAACUGUUUCGGUCUUCCAUCAGGGUUUCCCCUGACUUCAACCUGAUCAAGUAUAGUUCACCAUCUUUCGGGUCACAGCAUAUCUGCUCAAGGUACGUUCCAGUUAGAGGCAUAAAUAAUAUAAAUAUCAUUAUACAUAACUAUAUAGAACGCCCCGGGAUUGCGUUAAUUAACUAUAAAUAGCUAAAAAACUAAUCCCAUUAAUAGUCAAGUUAAUUUCGCUAUUAGGUUU
rnacentral:rRNA from 1 species